UACAGAGGUCUCAAGCGUUGUUCGGAUUCAUUGGGCGUAAAGGGUGCGUAGGUGGCGCUGUAAGUCGGGUGUGAAAUUUCGGAGCUUAACUCCGAAACUGCAUUCGAUACUGCGGUGCUUGAGGACUGGAGAGGAGACUGAAAUUCAUGGUGUAGCAGUGAAAUGCGUAGAGAUCAUGAGGAAGACCAGUGGCGAAGGCGGGUCUCUGGACAGUCCUGACACUGAGGCGACGAAGGCCAGGGGAGCAAACGGG
rnacentral:rRNA from 1 species